UUUAUGGAGAGUUUGAUCCUGGCUCAGAGUGAACGCUGGCGGCGUGCCUAAUACAUGCAAGUCGAACGAUGAAGCCUUUAGCUUGCUAGAGGUGGAUUAGUGGCGCACGGGUGAGUAAGGUAUAGUUAAUCUGCCCCGCACUGGGGGACAACACUUAGAAAUGAGUGCUAAUACCCCAUACUCCCGCCUCACACAGGUGAGGUGGGGAAAGUUAAUGAUUCAAACUGACUUGGAUUUUUUCAUCUUAAUUGAGUAUGAAGGCCUGAAUUUGAUUGAAAAACUUUGUUAAAUUUAAACCAAGAAUAAAAACUUUUUAAAUUUGAGCCAAGAGCAAAGUUUUUAAAAAGCUUUAACU
rnacentral:rRNA from 1 species